AUUGAACGCUGGCGGCAUGCCUUACACAUGCAAGUCGAACGGUAACAGGCCUUUUGGUGCUGACGAGUGGCGAACGGGUGUGUAAUGCAUCGGAAAAUACCCAGAGGAGUGGGAUAACGCAGCGAAAGCUGUGCUAAUACCGCAUGUGAUUUGAGGAUGAAAGCGGGGGACCGAGCAGCAAUGUUUGUCCUCGCGUCUUUCGAGCUGCCGAUGUCGGAUUAGCUAGUUGGGGGGGUAACGGCCUACCAAGGCGACGAUCCGUAGCUGGUCUGAGAGGGUGAGCAGCCACACUGGAACUGAGACACGGCCCAGACUCCUACGGGAAGCAGCAGUGGGGAAUAUUGGACAAUGGGCGCAAGCCUGAUCCAGCAAUGCCGCGUGCGGGAAGAAGGUCUUCGGAUUGUAAACCGCUUUAGGGAGGGAGGAAACGGAGUACGCUAAUACCGGGCGCUAAUGACGGUACCUGCAGAAUAAGCACCGGCUAACUACGUG
rnacentral:rRNA from 1 species